rnacentral:sRNA from 1 species
AAUGAAAUUAUAAUCCGGCGAGGGGAAAGGCGGAGAGUUGUAGCUGGCCUCUAGGGGCAUGUGCACGCUCUCUUCCGGACCUUUCGCCGUAUGGGCGCGGGGCGACCCGCGUCUUCAUAUACCUCUUCGUGUAGAAAGUCUUUGAAUGUUUUACCAUCAUCGAGUCGCGACUUCUAGGAGACGCGAUUCUUUGAGAAAAAAGUUAUUACAACUUUCAGCAACGGAUCUCUUGGCUCUCGCAUCGAUGAAGAACGCAGCGAAUCGCGAUAUGUAAUGUGAAUUGCAGAUCUACAGUGAAUCAUCGAAUCUUUGAACGCACCUUGCGCUCCUCGGUGUUCCGAGGAGCAUGCCUGUUUGAGUGUCAGUAAAUUCUCAACCCCUCUCGAUUUGCUUCGAGCGGGUGCUUGGAUGUUGGGGGCUGCCGGAGACACUGGAUUCGUCCAGGACUCGGGCUCCUCUUAAAUGAAUCGGCUCGCGGUCGACUUUCGACUUUGCAUGACAAGGCCUUUGGCGUGAUAAUGAUCGCCGUUCGCCGAAGUGCAAGACAGAAUGGUCCCGUGCCUCUAAUGCGUCGACGCCUCUAGGGGCGUCUUCCUCAUUGACGUUUGACCUCAA